rnacentral:rRNA from 1 species
AGGGAAUCUUCCGCAAUGGACGAAAGUCUGACGGAGCAACGCCGCGUGAGUGAUGAAGGUUUUCGGAUCGUAAAGCUCUGUUGCCAGGGAAGAACGUCCUGUAGAGUAACUGCUACAGGAGUGACGGUACCUGAGAAGAAAGCCCCGGCUAACUACGUGCCAGCAGCCGCGGUAAUACGUAGGGGGCGAGCGUUGUCCGGAAUUAUUGGGCGUAAAGCGCGCGCAGGCGGCUGUUUAAGUCUGGUGUUUAAGCCUGGGGCUCAACCCCGGGUCGCACUGGAAACUGGGCAGCUUGAGUGCAGAAGAGGAGAGUGGAAUUCCACGUGUAGCGGUGAAAUGCGUAGAGAUGUGGAGGAACACCAGUGGCGAAGGCGACUCUCUGGGCUGUAACUGACGCUGAGGCGCGAAAGCGUGGGGAGCAAAC